CCCUUUAAGGCUACCAUAUUCAUACUAAAAGCUAAAAAACUUUUAUUUCAGAGGGACUUUAUUAAAGUAAUCAACCGCUCGCUUACUGUGUGCCUAAUUCACACCAAAUCCCGCUGUUUUUACAACAUGUUUUUUACAUGUAAUCAUGCGUUAGGCUCGUUUUGCUUAAUUUUUAGGAUCUCGCGCAUUAGUGCUUCAUAUUUAAGACGGAAUAUCAAGAAGAUCAAGUUUUAAAAACGCAUCGCGAGACCUUUGCCAUUCUGUAACGCACGUUUAAGAUCGGCUUGGAAAAUGCAGGUUGCAAUUGUUCUUUUUUCCUAUUAUGUAUAUCCACGUGAAACGGCUUCUCAAACUCCAUUUUGACUUCAUAGUGGCUUAAAAUGCAAGAACGAGUUCUGUUUGAACGGCUCAGUCUCUCUCUCUUCUCGUUCUCUCUCUCUCUAUCUGAGUCCAGGGUCUUUCCAAGUCUUCAUAUCUGAUCCAUCCCAGCACAUUUGGACCACCUUGGCCUCAUUCAAGCCUUCAAAGAUCAAAACAGCUCAAAUCGGGGAAUGAGUCACACUGGACAUCAAAACUUCAGGGUGUGUAAUCCUGCCUGCGGAUGUGACCGUGUCUGGUUUCCCCCAGCCUGUGUGUGUCAGAGGCCGGCCGUCACUGAAUCUGUGCCGGAGCUCAGCGUGGGCUGCGUUCGAGGUGGGCGUGUGCUCGUGUGGAGAGUUGGAAGCGUGGACGGGAUGAAUGGAACGAGUGGGUGGCUGUGGGUUUAUGUGUGUGGGUGUCAUUCCAAGUGGGAUGAUUGUCUGUUUGUGUUUGGGACCUGUUGAACCUGAGUAUGUUUGUGACUGUGAGUGUGUGUAAACAUCUUCAUGUAGCCUAUAGUAUGAAAAAUGUUGCAUUUGAAAAAUGUAGCUCUAUAUA